rnacentral:misc_RNA from 1 species
UGUUUCGCGCGAGCGAGGUCACCUCCCCACGGAUCUCGGCAGUUUUCCGGGUGUCGCUCGUCUCGUAAGGUCCGAAUCUGGUGCGUGGUGGAGUGGAGGAGUUCGCAGGGUCGGCGAUCACGCGUUUCCGGCCCAACCGGCGCCCCGACCGCGGCAAACGCGGUUUGACGGAUAUCUCGCGUUUUUUCAGCCGGCGGCCAUAUUCCUCGCGCGUCACAUGCAACCUGUUGUUUUGGAAGCGUACGGAGGCCGCGAGUGUCGCCGAUAAGCAGUAGCAGCCCUGCCGACGAACUACCGACAGCCUCGAGGGAGGGCCGUGAGCCAGGAUGAACGGGUAGGUCAAGUAGAGAGUAUAGUUGCGUAGCGUUCAGAGAGUCUACGUAAGACCGGAAGAGGCCCGACAGGAUGAUGAUGGCCAACCUGCCCCCCGUUAUGUUGCCCACCCUGCACGACUACGGCAUGCUGACGCCCACCCUCGGCAUAAAGAGGGGCAGCGACGAACUGCUGUCACAAAGCGGCACUGUCAGCAAUGGGGCAGCGAUGAGUCCCCAACCACAUCACGCCGCUGAUAACAAUAAUGACGCGAAGAAGGCUAAGCUCGACAAGAGUCACCACGGCAAGCCUUCGAGGGUCAUCCACAUCCGAAACAUCCCGAACGAUGUGUCCGAGGCGGAGAUCAUCCAUCUGGGUCUGCCUUUCGGCAGAGUCACCAAUGUCCUCGUUCUCAAGGGCAAGAAUCAGGCAUUCCUGGAGAUGGCGGACGAGGGUGCAGCGGCCACCAUGGUGGUGUACUACGCCAACUGCGUCGCUCAGCUACGGGGGCGAGCAGUCUACGUGCAGUUCAGUAACCAUAGGGAAUUGAAGACCGACCAGACCCAUGGGAACGCGGCCGGAAGUCCCACCAGCGUGGUCCCCACCAACAACUCGAAUGCACAGACAGCUCUGCAGCCGACUCAAGGCCAAGGGCAGGUGCAAGGUAACGAGACUCAGGGUGGGCCCAACACAGUCCUCAGGGUAAUAAUCGAGCACAUGAUCUACCCCAUCUCCCUGGACAUUCUAUACCAGAUAUUCACGCGCUUCGGAAAGGUCCUGAAGAUCGUCACUUUUACGAAGAACAGUUCCUUCCAGGCACUGAUACAAUACCCGGACAUGCUAUCAGCACAGACUGCUAAAUUCUCGCUGGACGGGCAAAACAUCUACAACUCGUGCUGCACCUUGCGCAUCGACUACAGCAAGAUGCAGAGCCUGAACGUCAAGUACAACAACGACAAGUCCAGGGACUACACGAACCCGACUCUUCCCACGGGCGACGCGAACUUGGACGCGGCGUCGCUCGCUCUAGGAGGUGAGCUUCUUCCGCAGCUUCUUCUGGGUGCUGCUGGCACCCAGCCACGGGCUAGAAUACCCGUAGAGUCCAUUGCAGGCGCAUCUAGCGUCCUGGCGUCGCCAUUUGCGGCAAUGCACGGCUUGCCAUCGCCCCUGGCAGGUCCUUACAACGGAGUUGCUCCACCUGGAAGUUUGGCAGGAAUAGGAGGAUUCAACCUGGGGGCUGGAGCCCUGGGGGUAAGGGUCCCAGGCAGCCCUCAGCCCUCCUGCGUGCUUCUCGUCAGCAACCUCAACGAGGAGAUGGUCACGCCUGACGCUCUCUUUACCCUGUUUGGCGUUUACGGGGAUGUACAGCGUGUGAAGAUCCUGUACAACAAGAAGGACUCUGCCCUCAUUCAGCUGGCUGAGCCCCACCAAGCACACUUGGCUAUGACACAUAUGGACAAACUCAGAGUGUUCGGCAAGCAGAUUCGAGUUAUGCUGAGCAAACAUCAGACGGUCCAAUUGCCGAAGGAAGGACAACCUGACGCCGGCCUCACCAAGGACUACACAAACAGCCCUCUUCAUCGGUUCAAGAAGCCCGGCUCCAAGAACUACCAAAACAUUUACCCACCGAGCUCUACUUUGCAUUUAUCCAACAUUCCAGCCACCGUCUCCGAGGAGGAGAUCAAGGACGCCUUCACGAAAAAUGGCUUCACAGUGAAGGCCUUCAAGUUCUUCCCGAAGGACAGGAAGAUGGCACUCAUUCAAAUGUCCAGCAUGGACGACGCUGUCGCCGCUCUGAUCAAAAUGCACAACUACCAGCUGAGCGAGUCCAACCACUUGCGGGUGUCCUUCUCAAAGAGUAGCAUCUAACAAGAGACACCAUCAACCGAGUCACAAUGGUUUCAGUCCUACGCCCUACUCCAAUACUGGUGCCCCAGUGCCAUGUACGACUGAUUUGGUCCGGCCUCAGCAUCCGGAGGGCCUCCGGCCUGAGGACAAGAUCCGUUCGUCCAGCGCACGAAGUCGACCUCGCGAGACGAGCUGUCGCCGGCCGUCAAGAGACCGUCAUCGGACCGUCAGCCGACCGUCAAGCAAGCGGUCGGUUGACCGGCGGUCAGCGGGAUCAUCUUCAAGGCCGGUGGUGGGGUCGUCAGCCUCGGGACUCUCACUCGUAUAGCUAAGAGAUCGAGAAAGGGACUGGAGAGAGCCCUCCUUGUACAGAGCCAAGAUAAUCCGCGAUCCUCAAGAGACACACAGAGACCACACACCGACGAACCACACACGCAUACGGGCCAGCCAGUGGCCAAGAACACGAACACGCGCGUACAUUCGCGAUAUACCAUUAACGCUGAAGAGGAGGGACGCGGCAGCUCGUCUCCGAUGACCCCGUUAAGUCUAAGGAUUUCUAUAAGGCUACGAGCUAUCGCACCAGGCAACUCCGCAAUCAGCUCGAGGACACGUUGGAUCCUCCCAAGGAUGUGCGAUGAGUCCCUCGAGCAGGACAUUUGGAGGGCUGUCAAUAGACAACCAGGGCUGACGGUCCGUAGCCAGCAUCCCAGACACCCCGGCAGCUUGCGAGAGGUGCACGCACGCGUUACUUUCGCCCCCUUGGGGGCAAUUUUUUUUAAUAAUGCAUUUUCGGUUCAGCCAUAAGUAUUACACUCGCACGCACAGAGGCAGAGACGAGGGUAGGUUAGGGACAGGGAGGCGCUGGGAGGAAACAAGUGACGAAGCAGUUACGCCGAGCGCCUUGCACCAACGCCGAGCUGCACUUGCGACACCUGAUCAGGGAGCCGCGGUUUCCGCCUGAAUGAUGCGUCGGGUGGAAAAACGCCUCCUAUCGAAGUUGUUCCGGGAAACCUCGUGAAGAAUUUUCGUGGGAGGUGGUUUCUUCAUAUCUCUUACCGUUUGGCCGGAAAUCGGGGAUUCUCGUCGGAAGUGCCCUGGGCGCGCCUAGAUAUGACGAGAGCGAGCGCGGAACAUAUCGGUACUGCGAGCACUCGCGCUGACUUUCCGCGUGAUUGAGAAUCCCUAUCAAGGACAUGAAGUUAGCUCUGGAUUAACUGGACAGUUGAUAGCCAUGAAAUCGUGCGACGAUUUUAAGCCACUGGAACGCCUCGACUAGUAUUGAAUACGGAUAUCUCGACUAGUGUUGUAAUAUUUUGCGGAUAUUCCGGAGACGUUGCGCCGUUUCGAUGAAGUUUCUGCAUCUUUAUUAGACAACGUCGGGCCAUUGAUGCUCCUUGUGAGCCUUGAAUUCGUCACUACUCUCUGUGCUGAGCAGAUUGGCAUCGGCUAUUCAGUUAGUAUGUUGAGCUAGGGACACGUUCAGGUGAAAUCGCGAAAACGCGGCGGAAAGUUGGCGCGACCGACUUCAGGGCGCAGUGACCGCGCACACGCACCGAGCGUUUCUUUCGUAAAAUCGGACACGACUAAGGGAUAACUCUUCGAUUAUAAAAUUAUUCUUAGAUGAUAGCGACGCAGAUAUUACGUGUAUUAAGAGAAGAUUUAAGUAUUCCAGCGAUCGGGAUCGGGACGACCCGACAGCGGCGGAUAUUGCGGGUCGACCGACGCCGAUCGUCCGCUGGCGAGUUUCGGAAUGAGCACCGCUUCUCGCGCGGUCUAUUUCGUGUUGCCGACUUUGCGCGGUCGACUUCGUACGACAAGCUUCGCGUUGCCGACUUCGCGUGUUCUACUUUGCGUGGCCGACUUCGGGUUGUCGAUUUCGCGUUGCCAACUUGCACGGUUGACUGUGCUUUGCCGACAUUGCGCGAUCGACUUUUGCGCGGCCAACCUCACGCGGUCGACUUCGCACGGCGGAAAUCGCGUUGCCGACUUCACGCAGCCACCUUCGGGACGAACCGCGCGGCCGGCGCUCUCGGCUAGCCAUGCGGAGAAGACAGAACCUAGUUUAAUCGAGCGAACCUCGAACCUGUGUGACGCAGAAUCGUUGUAUACAUUUUGGUCUGAUCGACACGACAUUCUGUUGGAGUCAAUUAAAUUUUAAUGAUAUAUAUAUAUAUGAAUGAUAUAAAAAUGAUAUAAUUAUAUUAAACGUUAGUUGACGGAGGCCAGGGCAAUGGCGCGCGUGUGCGAAGACGACCACGAGGCGCGACAGGACCAGAGGAUAUAUAUAUGAGCGCAUAGGUGUGAAUGGGGCCGCGUUUGGAGAGAGAAUGAAGUUCGAGAGGCGUGUCUCGAAGUGCGCGUGAAUCUGACGAGGCGAUCAGCUGAUCGGUAACAGGAGCGAGUGCCGACCCGGGCGGCACGUCGUUUGUGCCAAAAUAGGCUAACCGUUUUAGAACGGAGACGAGACAAAAAAUUCUCCCGAGCGAGGGGUCAACCGGGACGACCUAUCGCGUGGUCGUCCACUCUUGACACGACCUCGGGUCCGUCUCAUUGGCAUGACAAAAAAAGUAGCGAGCCGGCUGAGCGAAGGGGCCAGUCUUUCGCGUCUAGGAUCUGUGCUUUCGAAUCUCCAUGUACACAAGGCGACGUGUCGUCGCGUCUUCUGGCGGGAAAAUGAAAAAAAAAUAUAUAUAUACACACAAAAUACGCGCACACUACGUAGCCGUUAGCCAUUGACAUUGACGUUAACGUUCAGGAAAGCGAGAGAGAAAAAAAAAAGAGAAAAAAGAGGACACGUUGACAAGAAUUGUACACCGGCGAGCAGCCUCGAGUCGUCGCUUCCCUCUCGAGCCGAGACCACUGAUCUAUGUGAUAACUAGAUAGCUGUCAUCCUACAAAAUGGUGGGACGUUUCGAAGCAACCACAAUUCUUUGGUCAUGGACAGUAUCGUAGUAUUUCCGCAUGCGUCAAAACAAAAAUUCGACCGUAGAUAGUAUAAGAGGAGUGAAAUUUUAAUUCACUGGGAAAAGAAUAAUUGUCAUUUAUAUUAAAAUACUUAGGUGAAAAAAAGGUAACCGUUCUAGUCGAAGCUUUCUUACGACAUGUCCCGCGCAACGUUUUACACGUAAAUUGUCUCUUCCGUCUGUUAUACUUUAAGUGUUCACCUUCGCGAAUUGACGGUUCAAGACUUAUGCACGUUUUUAGUUGUUUAGUAUCGCUGCCCAUGUGUAGAGGCGCUGGGGUGUUUUGAAUCGUCCAAGUCCUCUUCGUAUAGAACAAAUAGGUAUCAGCUAUCCAGUUACUGUAUAGAUCAGAGACUGAGACACACGUCUGCGAGGUAUGUCAUAUUUUGCGUUCGACGAGCGCGACAGAGACCCUUAGUAUUAACAAUUAACGCCAAGUAUUCGCAUAUUUCGUUUAUUCUCUUUAUUUCUCCCUUUUUUAUUAUUAUCGUUCUAAGUUUUAACCCGCUUGCUUGCUCGAUUAAUCGCUGCCCACAGCCCUAGGUUUACUCGCGCGAUCAUUACUCUUAUCGCCGUUAAUCUAUACAUCCUUUACUCAUUUGUUUGUUCGAUCUUUUUAAUUCCAAUCUUAGCCUUAUCAUCGA